AGUGAACGCUGGCGGUAGGCCUAACACAUGCAAGUCGAACGGCAGCACAGUAAGAGCUUGCUCUUACGGGUGGCGAGUGGCGGACGGGUGAGGAAUACAUCGGAAUCUACUUUUUCGUGGGGGAUAACGUAGGGAAACUUACGCUAAUACCGCAUACGACCUACGGGUGAAAGCAGGGGAUCUUCGGACCUUGCGCGAUUGAAUGAGCCGAUGUCGGAUUAGCUAGUUGGCGGGGUAAAGGCCCACCAAGGCGACGAUCCGUAGCUGGUCUGAGAGGAUGGGAGGGCAACUGGGAAGUUGAACGGCGGCCUGACGCCUGCGGGAGGCAGGAGUGGGGAAUGUGGGACAAAGGGGGCAAACUUUAAACAACCAUACGGCGCGGGAGAAAAAGGCCUUGUGGUUGUAAAGCCGUUCUGUGGGUAAAGAAAAGCAGCAGGUUAAUACCCUGCGGGUCUGACGGUACCGAAAGAAUAAGCACCGGCUAACUUCGUG
rnacentral:rRNA from 1 species